AUACGGAGGAUCCGAGAGUUAUCCGGAUUUAUUGGGUUUAAAGGGAGCGUAGGUGGAAAGUUAAGUCAGUUGUGAAAGGUUGCGGAUCAAGCGUAACAUUGCAGUUGAUACUGGCUGUCUUGAGUACAGAAGAGGUGGGCGGAAUUCGUGGUGGAGCGGUGAAAUGCUUAGAUAUCACGAAGAACUCCGAUUGCGAAGGCAGCUCACUGGACUGCAACUGACACUGAUGCUCGAAAGUGUGGGUAUCAAACAGGAUUAGAUACCCUGGUAGUCCACACAGUAAACGAUGAAUACUCGCUGUUUGCGAUAUACAGUAAGCGGCCAAGCGAAAGCAUUAAGUAUUCCACCUGGGGAGUACGCCGGCAACGGUGAAACUCAAAUGAAUUGACGGGG
rnacentral:rRNA from 1 species